CAGAUCCACAAUCUUAAUGUCACACGUAUGCAAUGUUAGAAAUUCGGCACUUUUAAAAGAAGGCAGGAUUCUUUCUGCACUGAACACAAGUCUGCAAAUACUUACGCAGUUGGUAAAAAUCUGUGGCCUGGGCUAAAUGAAACUGUGUAGCAUGUCUGCGGCAGCAAAAUAUACAUUUAUUGAAACAUACAUUCAUAUCAUGGAAUAAAAUCCCAUUUAGUCAUGGAAAUAUUGAUAAAUAUACAACUGACAAAAGCUAGCCAAUGAACAGAGAGGAGAUCUUUUAUCUGCUCUGAAAAAAGAAGGAAUUCCCACAUCUUCAUGCUACAUUUCUACUGUAGCUUCACUUGUGCAGUGUUAGAUAAGACAGGCAGGUUAUAAGGCUGGUGAGUUACUGAAUAUGCAUAUAUUGUGUCAGCCGUCCCCUUUCAUGCAUACAGCAGGUUUAUAUCGAAAUAAAACAAAAACAUGUCAACUAAAUGGUUAUAAUGUGAUUUAAAGUGUGACGUCAGUCUUCGUAGUAACAACUUUUACUGUGCAGGAAUUCCUUCUUUCUUUCUGACAAAUACAACAAACGCUUGUGAAACACAAUAUGGAGCAGUGCUGUCUACAUUCACAGCAUUUUUAGUUUAAAAGCCAUAUGGGAAAAGUGACACUUUAAUGAGAUGAUUCAGAGACCAGAGUUUAUACAAUGACUCUUUACAGCGGGGACACACUUUCCUGCCCAGCUUCUCUGUAUUUAGUGUUAUGAAGUGAUGAAGUGACGACAUUCUUAUUUUCUUGAUCUAUUGUUCUGUCUUGUUUUCAGAGUUUAAUUUUCUACCGAGACCUCGCCGAUUUGGAAAAGCCUCCCGUGACACAGCAGGCUUCCAAUCAUCAGUACCAACAGGAAACUGAAAUAUGGACGGCACACGUUUCCAAACCAAAGAUAUAGAGCUUUACAGCGUUGACACCUGUGCACCCUCCAGAGGAAGGUCAUGGGACACUCCCAACAGUUCUGGUAAAGGACACUUUUUCUUCAUCCUGCACCUCUGUGUCUCGCUGUGGGACGGGCAAAGUGAUGCUGCUUUCUCUUCAGGCGUUCUCCCGGACUGCCCCC